UCUUUGCCCGCGCUGCCCGGCGACCGGUGAUUGGCCCACAGAGCAGGAAGAGGCUGCGCCGCCAGAUCUCGGGUUGGCCGGGCGUUGGAAAGAGCACCUCGGUCCCCUGGCUUUGGAACCUAUGGAGACCCUCCGCGUCCGUGGAACUCGGGAUUGUGCCCUCGACGGUCUCCUUCCAUGCCUCCCGACGGCAGGAUCUGGAAUCGGGUCCCUAGCCCCUGUGAGAGACACAUAUACCCUGGCCAAACCCUGGGGACAGCCAAGGUAGAAACCAGGUACACGGUUUACUGUUAAGACCACGGCUGCGGGGCGCGCCCGACUCCUUGCACCCGCGGGACGGCUCUCAGUCUCUGGACUGCAGUUUAGGAAGAGGAACUUUGCUUGGUGCAGAGUGAGCAUGGGGCAGGAUGGUUCCCCACCUGAAGCCAUUGUUCUCCUUCCUGUGGUCACCUUCAAGAUUUUAAGACCAAAGAGUGCCCACAGUGGCUUGACACCACGUGCGUCUCCUUGCCAGAUGUCUCAUCGGCACUGGGUAAAAGAAUCCUUGGAUGAGCUCCCCCGCCGCACCGGGGAUAGGCCCAAGGUCCUAAAAAAAGAGGUUUUGACGGGUUGGAGCUACUCCCUUUUACUACUACAUGAGACCUGUUGCGAGCAGAUGCCGAUGUCCCGGGCUUGGAGAUGCUGGUUACACGGAAGUGCAGUUUGUGAAAAUUAACCUGCACACUUAUGUAUGUGUGUUAUGCUUCAAUUAAAAAAAAAAAGUCUCCUCCCUCUAGUCUUCCUUCCCCUUCCUAGAGGCAACCUGCUUCUUGUGUCCUUCUGGAGAUAAUUUAGGUACAUAAAAACAUACCUUUUUUUUUUUCUUUUCACAAGUAGCAUAAUAAACACACUGUUCACUUUGCUUUCUUUUCUCACUUGAUACAUCUUGUAGAUUGUUUAAUUUCAGCACAUAUAGAUUGCUUUUUUUAAUGGCUGCAUACAUAGUGUCCCACUGUAUGGAUAAAACGUUUAUUUAGUUCAUUUUCUGUUGAUGAGCAAUUAGUUUGUUUCCAGUCUUAACUACCCUAAGAUACUGCAAUCACAUCCUUAGAUAUACUUCUUUAGAUGCAUAUAUUAGCAUGUCUGUAGAAUGAAAUUCUAGAAGCAGAAUUGCUGAUUCAAAGAAGAUUUUCUCCCAAAUCUACAAGAAGCAUUGAUAUAUCCAGAAGAUAUAUUUAUUUUGUAUCUUCAAGCUGCCCAGUUUUGAGAAGCAUGGUUUUAAGGUCUUUUAUUUAUUCAGGUGACAUGGCAGACAGAGUAAUGGACACCAAAGAUGUCCAUGUUCUAAUCCCUGAAACCUGUGAAUAUGUUAUAUUGGCAAACAGGACUUUGCAGAUGUGAUCAAGCUAAGGAUUUUCAGAUGGGAAGACUAUCUUGAAUACCAGCGUGUCCAAUGUAAUUACAAAGAUCCUUAUAAAAGGGAGACGGGAGGCUCCUCUGGGCUUGGAGCUAGUUUGCAGCGACAUGGCUAAAAUGCACCAAGAAGGUCAGAAUUGUCAGUAAAUACAGGACCCAUUGUGGUGCCUCUGUCAGGAAAAUGAUGAAGAAAAUCGAAAUAAGGGGCGCUUGGGUGACUCAGUC